AGCGAACGCUGGCGGCAGGCCUAACACAUGCAAGUCGAACGGACCCUUCGGGGUUAGUGGCGGACGGGUGAGUACCACGUGGGAACGUGCCUUUAGGUUCGGAAUAGCUCCUGGAAACGGGUGGUAAUGCCGAAUGUGCCCUUCGGGGGAAAGAUUUAUCGCCUUUAGAGCGGCCCGCGUCUGAUUAGCUAGUUGGUGAGGUAACGGCUCACCAAGGCGACGAUCAGUAGCUGGUCUGAGAGGAUGACCAGCCACACUGGGACUGAGACACGGCCCAGACUCCUACGGGAGGCAGCAGUGGGGAAUCUUGCGCAAUGGGCGAAAGCCUGACGCAGCCAUGCCGCGUGAAUGAUGAAGGUCUUAGGAUUGUAAAAUUCUUUCACCGGGGACGAUAAUGACGGUACCCGGAGAAGAAGCCCCGGCUAACUUCGUG
rnacentral:rRNA from 1 species